rnacentral:misc_RNA from 1 species
CUUGGGUGUUUCUCUAAAUUCUUUAAAAUGGCAGAAAAAAGUUGCAAAACUUAGUAACUAUGAAAAAGAAGCAAAUCAAUAAUCCCUGCACCUUAAUACACACAAAAGAGCAUACAAACAAAGGCCAAACUUAGUGUCAAAGUUUGCAUAAAAGACAUCCACAUUCCUUGGACUAAAUUACAAAUUUUUAAAAUACCAAAAAGCAAAAUCUUUAGCAAUUCCAAGAAUAUAAUAAUUAGAAAAUCAUUUAAGCCAUCCAAUCAUAUAGGAAAAUAUAAAAACAAUAUCACUGGUUCUUUUCUUUUUUUUUCAAAGCACAAUACUAUCUUACCCAAGAUACUUUCAAAUUACAACUGCUCAACCCAAGGAGCUAUUUCCACAGUUACCACGAUCAUCAAAUUUCCUUCAAUUAAUUUUCCAUUCGUACGUGAAUGUUCUACAUGUUGCAGAGAUGCUUCCAAGAAAUCAUUCAGCAAUAACAGAAGCAUUACUUCUAAUCAAAACAAAGUAGGAUACGCAACAUCGAUGUGUAUCAAUGCCAGAACAUGUAUGAUCAAUCAGAGGAUAUCAUACAUUAGUUUUAAGGGCAAUCAUUCUUACCUCGAGUUAU